rnacentral:tRNA from 1 species
GGCUUCGUAGCUCAGCUGGUAGAGCGCUUGCCCCGCUGAGGCAUGCUGUGUGUCUGUCGCUGGUUCGAAUCGAGUAGAAGCCC